rnacentral:tRNA from 1 species
AUGGCCGAGUGGUAAGGCGGGGGACUGCAAAUCCUCUUUUCCCCAGUUCAAAUCCGGGUGUCGCCU